rnacentral:rRNA from 1 species
AGUGAACGCUGGCGGUAGGCCUAACACAUGCAAGUCGAACGGCAGCACAGUAAGAUCUUGCUCUUACGGGUUGCGAGUGGCGUACGUGUCACGAAUAUAUCCGAAUCUACUCUUUCGUGUGGGUUAACGUAGGUAAACUUACUCUAAUACCGCAUACGACCUACGGUUGUAAGCAGUGGAUCUUCUCACCUUUCGCGUUUGAAUUAGCCGCUGUUGGAUUAGCUAGUUGGCGGGCUAAAGGCCCACCAAGGCGACGAUCCGUAGCUGGUGUGAGAGAAUGAUCAGCGACACUGGAAGUGGGACACGGACAAGACUACUAAGGGAGGCAGCAGUGGGGAAUAUGGGACAAUAGGGGCAAACAUGAUACAACCAUACGGAGUGGGUGAAGAAGGCGCUCGGGUUGUGAAGACCUUUUGUUGGGAAAGAAAAGCAGCAGGUUAAUACGAAGCUGUAGUGACGGUAAUCAAAGAAUAAGCACCGGCUAACUUCGUG